UACGAAGGGGGCUAGCGUUGCUCGGAAUCACUGGGCGUAAAGGGUGCGUAGGCGGGGCUUUAAGUCAGGGGGGAAAUCCUGGAGCUCAACUCCAGAACUGCCUUUGAUACUGGCGAUCUUGAGUCCGGGAGAGGUGAGUGGAACUGCGAGUGUAGAGGUGAAAUUCGUAGAUAUUCGCAAGAACACCAGUGGCGAAGGCGGCUCACUGGCCCGGUACUGACGCUGAGGUGCGAAAGCGUGGGGAGCAAACAGG
rnacentral:rRNA from 1 species